rnacentral:rRNA from 1 species
UAGCAAUACGGAGCGGCAGACGGGUGAGUAACACGUGGGAACGUACCUUUUGGUUCGGAACAACACAGGGAAACUUGUGCUAAUACCGGAUAAGCCCUUACGGGGAAAGAUUUAUCGCCGAAAGAUCGGCCCGCGUCGGAUUAGCUAGUUGGUGAGGUAACGGCUCACCAAGGCGACGAUCGGUAGCUGGUCUGAGAGGAUGACCAGCCUCACUGGGACUGAGACACGGCCCAGACUCCUACGGGAGGCAGCAGUGGGGAAUAUUGGACAAUGGGCGCAAGCCUGAUCCAGCCAUGCCGCGUGGGUGAUGAAGGCCCUAGGG